rnacentral:lncRNA from 1 species
CUUUCGAAUUAUUGAUACAUAUAAACACAAGAAAAUAGAAAAUAUACGAAAAUGGGCGAAUGGGAAUUAUUUCCAGAAUCAUUUCCAACUAAUAAAAAUAUGAUUACUCUAAAUUGUUUUGAAUUUUUUUUAAAUAUUUUUACUUUUUCAAAAAAGCACUUUAAAGUUUUAUGAUGAUGAUGUAUAAGAUUGCAAAUAUCCAUUCAUUGGUUAAUGCUUUCUUAUUUACUGUUUUUUUUUUUUUUUUUUUGUGUGUGUGUGAAAGAAAGUUUCACAGACUUCCUGUAACUUCCCACGUUGUCAGAACUGAUUUUCCUAAGAAUCACGUGAUGUUUCCAAACAUGUUAAUUAACACAAACUAUAUACGCUUAGUUUGGUUGGUAUGGU